rnacentral:rRNA from 1 species
ACAGAAGGUAAUAGUCCUGUAUGUUAAACGAGAAGACUUUAGAUAUGAUCCAGAGUACCACGGGACACGUGAAACCCUGUGGGAAGCAGGAGGGACCACACUCCAAGGCUAAAUACUACCUAGUGACCGAUAGCGUAUAGUACCGUGAGGGAAAGGUGAAAAGAACCCCGGGAGGGGAGUGAAAUAGAACCUGAAACCCUGCACUUACAAGCUGUGGAAGCACAUU